rnacentral:rRNA from 1 species
UCCCUAUCUGCCGUGGGCGUCGAAAUUUGAGAGGAGUUGCCCCUAGUACGAGAGGACCGGGGUGAACAUGCCUCUGGUGGACCUGUCAUCGUGCCAACGGUGCAGCAGGGUAGCUAUGCAUGGACGGGAUAACCGCUGAAAGCAUCUAAGCGGGAAGCCUCCCUCAAGAUAAGAUUUCAUAGAGCCGUGGAAGACCACCACGUUGAUAGAUCGGAUGUGGAAGUGCGGUAACGCAUGGAGCUAACCGAUACUAAUUGCUCUAUUCGCGCUUGA